UACAGUCAGAAAACACGGAAGCGAUUU
rnacentral:piRNA from 1 species